rnacentral:lncRNA from 1 species
GCGGGCUACAUCGCUCUUUAAAUAUCUUCGGGGUGCAGACCAGGCACACCGUUGGCACGACUCCUUUGACUAUCCCUUUGUAAACCCAGCCAUGCUCCAGCACUCCUCAGCAGCCAUACCUUUGUAAGGUUUACUGGUCCUGCCUCCCAGCAGGCCGCCCGGUCCUUGUUUUUUGGGGGGUUUUUUUGUUGUUUUUUUUUUUUUCCUUACCCAUCCCAUUCGGUAAACCGCAUCCUUCUCCCCUGGCUCCAUCCCGAGCCCGGCAGGGUCCAUCCCCGCCAGCAGCAAACCUCCGGUUGCCACAGGGACCACCACCACCUCUCCUCCCCCGGCUCCAAGAGCAGGCUGGAAAAGGGAAAGUCUGCUCAGCGGUGAGGGGCCAGGGGCCAAAACCCCUUCCCCUUAACACGCACCAUCCAGAAGGAACCCCAAACACCGGCGUCCACCGGGACAUCCCACAAGCAGAGCAAAGACACCCAGAAGCACGGGGGACGUGCUGGUUGAGAGGAGGAAGAGCUGCCGAGCCCCUCUCCCUGCUGCAAGGAAAGGAAAAAUAAAAAAACANAAAAAAAAAAAAUUAAAAAAAAAAAAAAAGAGCCUUGCUCUCCCCAUCCCCCACCCGAUCCAUUAAGAGCCGCUGAUGAUAUUUGCUGCUCCUUCCCAGAGGGAAGCAAAGUGUUACAGCGAGAGGAAGAGUCGGUCCAGCCUUCUUACACAACUCAUUAUCACUACAGCCUUUUGUCAGAGUGGAAAGCAGGCCACCAAGUCUAACGUCUCCGCGGACUGGGAAACAGAUGUUUGAAAUGGGAUCUAGGAAACAAUAUACCCAAGCAGUGCUUUUUUUUUGUUUUGUUUUAAAGCUUCAUUAAGUCUCUAGUUGUUGUAUUAUAUAUAUAUAUUUAUAUAUAAAGCUGUGCUCUAUACAAAGCACUUCAAGUAAGAACCAACCCAUUCAGAUGCGAGCCUGCAGAGAGGCUUUUCUACUGCCCACAAGCCAGCGGGACUGUCCACAUCCACUCCUAUAAAGACACUUUGAAUGCCAGUGUUUUGCUAACUAUUUUAAUUGACAUGUGGGAAAGGAGGAGCACAGAGCUGCACAGCUUACUGUUCCUGCUGCAGUUCAGUGCCACUGGGUAGGUACCCCCUCACCAAUUUGUACCUCCAUCCUCUUCUCUCCUCCCCCUUAUUGCCUUGCAGGGGAAAAGGAAUACAUUUUGGGAAUCUUAGCCAAGCUCACAGGCGUUUCGGAUGCAACAAGGUGGAACCAAUAACACAUACACCUGAAUUUUCAACAUCUGCCUGACCAGCUCUCAGUGACAGCUAAUUUUAGUAAUCCACAUGAGUUCUUUGCUGGGUGUAACCACACCAUCUCCUCAAUCUGACAGUUUGCUGAAAAGACUGCUUUUCUAGAGGGCUGGAUAUCAAGGCUUCUGCCAUUCCAAGGACCUGCCCUGCUAAAAAAAAAAAAGAGGUAACACAAGCUACUUUUAUAAGAUAAAAAAAAUAGACAGUUUCAGAAGUAAAAGAACUAUUGCUCUCCAAUCACUGUACACAGCAAAAGUGAGUAGAAGGAGCUGGAACUUGAUGAUAAAGCCUCACACAAGCUGAAUAUGUUUCUUGGGAAGAUGGUAAUAAGCUGGAAGUUGAACAAAAUGCAGAGAGAGAAAUUAGUAACUCAGAGGAAAGCAACAAGUAAGGAGGGCUGAGGCUUGGUUAGAAUAAGUAGGUUAAUAGGGGCACCCAAAUACUAACACAUACAAUCACAGCCCCACUAAAAAACAAUCUAAAGGCCAGGAAAAACACACAAGAAUUAACAAUUGUUCAUUUUCACAGCCACAACCAUAGAUGCUUAUGGUCUUUUUCAACACAAAUAUGCUAAGCAGCGAGUAGCACCAGGUGAUAAUCUUUCCUGGCAACACUAAGAUAUUCAGCUACCAAGACAAGCUGAGUUAUGAAUGUUUGGAGAAGAUCUCACAGCAGUGACUGUCUGGACAACACAAUGAUGGAUGAAACCCUUUCACUAAAAUUCAAAAGUGAGGCACAUGGGGGGAAACAUGGAAAUCACAGCUUCCGAGUUACCUAUUACCAUUCGAAAUAGAGAUCCUGAUACUGUGACAGAUACUUCUGUGAAACUUCUGUGUGCUCAAGUGCAGUGCUAGGAAUUGUUACAAAAGAAGGGGAGAACAGAACAGGAAACAUCACUACACCAUCAUUAUUUAGUCCAGAUGUAUCAUCUGCUUGCAUCUUGAAUGUCACGUGCAGUUCUGGUCUGCUUAGAAGGUGCAAAGUGGGAAUGUCACGUGCAGUUCUGGUCUGCUUAGAAGGUGCAAAGUGGAACUUAAGAAGGCACAGAAAAAUGUAGCAAGGGUGGCCAAAAGCACAAGGAACAGCUAAAUACAUGAAGAUUUUCAUCCCAGGAAGAAGGCAAUUGGGAUGAAAUGCCAAGCAAUAUACUGUAAAGACAAGAGCAGCAUGGAAAGCAUUAUCAGAGAGUGAUUACUCAGUGUUUCUCAGAAGUAGAGGAUAUCAAGUCAAUUUAUCAAACGGAUGCAUCAGAAGACAGCUACUUACUCAUGCAACGCAUUGCCAAACCACAGAACUCACUGCUACAGCACACUGAAGAGGCCAAGAAAUUUACAGGUUUAAGUUUAUUUGUUUUUUUUUAAAAAAAAAAACCAAAAUGAAUGGAAGAAAGUUUAAUCAAAAGCUACUUAACACAAAAGUACUACUUUAGCUAUAUGGUACUUGAAGCUGGAAGAGUGUGCUGAGGAAAUAGCCCUGUAUGUUACUCAAGCCUUCUUCCCUGCAUCCAUGCUACUGGCUAUUUUCAGGGGUAAAGUUUCAAGCUGGUGGACUUUUGGUCUGACACAGCACCACCAUUCCUGUGUAUUUAUCCAGAAUAACAUGCAAAUUGGCACAUACCUACAGAAUUAGUAAAACUGGACAACAUAGCACCAAGGAAUACAGUGCAUAAGCCUGUAAGCAGUUCUGCACUGCAGGCAGUUCUGGCAAAAUUUGAGUCUCUAGUGAAUCAGGGAGUUGUGAGGGGUAGUUGCUCCCUAAGAGACAGAGGGCCCCACACACAACCAGCAGGACAAGGACCUCACUACCCAGUUCCCAGCCCCACUGUACACACACAAGGCAAACAAGACAGACCUAGGGACAGUGUCCAUACUUAGCCAGAAGUUCAGAUAAUAAAUGCACUUUCAGGAGAUGAGGCA